GGUGGUUGUAGCUCAGUUGGUUAGAGUAUCGGUUUGUGGUACCGAGUGUCGCGGGUUCGAGUCCCGUCUUCCACCC
rnacentral:tRNA from 14 species